UACGUAGGGGGCUAGCGUUAUCCGGAAUUACUGGGCGUAAAGGGUGCGUAGGUGGUUUCUUAAGUCAGAGGUGAAAGGCUACGGCUCAACCGUAGUAAGCCUUUGAAACUGGGGAACUUGAGUGCAGGAGAGGAGAGUGGAAUUCCUAGUGUAGCGGUGAAAUGCGUAGAUAUUAGGAGGAACACCAGUUGCGAAGGCGGCUCUCUGGACUGUAACUGACACUGAGGCGCGAAAGCGUGGGGAGCAAACAGG
rnacentral:rRNA from 1 species